rnacentral:rRNA from 1 species
AACGAACGCUGGCGGCAGGCUUAACACAUGCAAGUCGAGCGCCCCGCAAGGGGAGCGGCAGACGGGUGAGUAACGCGUGGGAAUCUACCCAGCUCUACGGAACAACUCCGGGAAACUGGAGCUAAUACCGUAUACGUCCUUCUGGAGAAGGAUUUAUCGGAGUUGGAUGAGCUCGCGUUGGAUUAGCUAGUUGGUGGGGUAAUGGCCUACCAAGGAGACGAUCCAUAGCUGGUCUGAGAGGAUGAUCAGCCACACUGGGACUGUGACACGGCCCAGACUCCUACGGGAGGCAGCAGUGGGGAAUAUUGGACAAUGGGCGAAAGCCUGAUCCAUCCAUGCCGCGUAAGUGAUGAAGGCCCUAGGGUUGGAAAGCUCUUUCACCGGUGAAGAUAAUGACGGUAACCGGAGAAGAAGCCCCGGCUAACGUCGUGCCAGCAGCCGCAGUAA